CUGUGCUUCAGGAUGCAUUAUAUGCCUUAACCCAGCUGUGGUGGCCCAAUAAAGAGAACCCCAAGGACUGAGUUCCCUGAGGAAAGCACUGGUUAAAAGAACAUUUUAGAUUCUGGGUAGAGGCAUAACAGGAUUGACAUCUCCCUGGAAUAAUAUGGCAGCUGGCAGGACUUUGAGUAACUCCUCUUUUGAGAACACAAGGUUUUCACCCCUAAAAGGAUGCUGAGGCUCGGAGGGAUUGACUGCACUGGAUAUUCUUUGUCUGUUCAUCUAGAUCCACUUUCUGCUCUUAUCAACUCUGCAUGACACGCAGGUGGGUUGCUUUAACUGGACUCUCAUGCUCCUGGCUUUUGGCUGGUUUUGGGCAGUGUGAGGCACCAGCAGAAGGUUGGAAGGUGAGAGGAGAAAGAAGUGAACUAUUUAUUCCCUCAGUUCCUGCCCUGCUGGGCAGCAGCUUGGCAAUAGUCAUGUUCUUCUCCCUAAGACCUCAUCCCCUGAGGGCAACCCUGUCCUCGUUCAUUUCAGUAACUGCUCCCUUUCUUGCCCCCUCAGGCCUAGGAGGGAUCCUGGCUUCCCCCUGUUCGUAUCCCUGAGAUGCUUCCUCAACUACUGGCCUUACUUGAACCUGCCUUCGCUUGGCUUCUGCCACGCUACUAUUGUUACCAGCGUGAAUGGGAACAUUCUUAACAGGAGAAUGUGAGUGAAGACCUGCUCACAUGAUGGAAGGACGAUGUAUGAUCUCCGGCGAAUACGCAAGUUACAAGUUAUAGCAUUCAUUUAUUUCAUCAUCUCAACUCUUCCUUAAACCUCAUCAUAUUUAAACACAGGUUUUAUUUUUAACAGAUUUAUUUUAUAGGAAAAGCUAGGCAACAUUGAAACGCACACCAUGUUAGUCAAAGGGU
rnacentral:lncRNA from 1 species